GCCUCCGUAGCUCAAUUUGGCAGAGCAGCGGACUCUUAAUCCGUUGGUUGGAGGUUCGAGUCCUCCCGGAGGUA
rnacentral:tRNA from 1 species